CGGCGUGCCUAAUACAUGCAAGUCGAACGCACUCUCGUUUAGAUUGAAGGAGCUUGCUCCUGAUUGAUAAACAUUUGAGUGAGUGGCGGACGGGUGAGUAACACGUGGGUAACCUGCCCUAAAGUGGGGAUAACAUUUGGAAACAGAUGCUAAUACCGCAUAAAACCUAACACCGCAUAGUGUAGGGUUGAAAGAUGGUUUCGGCUAUCACUUUAGGAUGGACCCGCGGUGCAUUAGUUAGUUGGUGAGGUAAAGGCUCACCAAGACCGUGAUGCAUAGCCGACCUGAGAGGAUAAUCGGCCACACUGGGACUGAGACACGGCCCAGACUCCUACGGGAGGCAGCAGUAGGGAAUCUUCCACAAUGGACGAAAGUCUGAUGGAGCAACGCCGCGUGAGUGAAGAAGGUUUUCGGAUCGUAAAACUCUGUUGUUGGAGAAGAAUGUAUCUGAUAGUAACUGAUCAGGUAGUGACGGUAUCCAACCAGAAAGCCACGGCUAACUACGUG
rnacentral:rRNA from 1 species